GUUAUUUGCUUGUUUUUGGUGUGAGUAUAUGCUUGAAACAUUGAGGACAAUGUUUGAUUUAAGUGUGGGGGGAGUAACCAUUGUUUUGCAUGAAAUUCGUAGAAAUUUAUCACCCAUUACUUCUAGUGUUGUUCCUUGUUGUUUUAAGUAUUUUUAAGCUGUUUUGGAGUGUUUCAGUGUGUUUUGACAUAAAAAUCCAAAAAUUCAUAAAAAUUUGAAAAAUUGUUUUUGAAAAUCCAAAAAAAAGAGUUGUUUUUGUGCGCUUAUUUGUGUCUUAGGGUACCUUCCAACACAAUGAUGAGGAUUCAGUUUGUAAUUGCAUGACUGUUAAAGAGAGUUAUAAACAUGGAUGAAAGUUUGAUUUACUCUUUAUUUAUGCGUGAUUGUGGUUAUAACUUAUGAAAUCACAUGUAAUCAUAAAAGAAAAAAAUUAGUUUUUUGUAACAUGCUUGAAGGAAAGAACUCAAACUAACGCUACAACCUUGUGAGAAUUGAGCCUAAAUAUUUAUUUGGAGAGUUAAAAUCUGUGCAUUAUUGUUUUCUAAAGUCGUUGCAUGAUCUCAUUAUUCUUUG
rnacentral:lncRNA from 1 species